UGUGACAGUCAUGUGAUUUAACUGCCAGAAAAGAACAAAGUCUGUGUAAAUUUGAUUGGUGUAAAAUGUACUCUAACCUCAUGGUCAGACUUGAUGAUCCUACAUUUAGACAUUUUGUGAAACAUUAAAUAGUUUUACAUUAAUUUGUACAGAUUACCAUAUCUGCCACAAUAUGUACAAAUUUGAAAUAAAAUUAGAUCAGAAUUGACUGGUGCUCUUUAUCAUAUACUGGUCAAUAAAAUCAUGGAUGACUUUGAGGGUAGUGGAUAUAAGAGUGUAUUUUACAUCAACCAGUUUAAAGUAAGUGUUCAUGAGAAUAUUAAAAUUCAAGAAAUAAAGAGAGGUGUUCUUUGUUUUUAGAUUAGUUUUGAUCAUUUUACUGUCUUCUUGAUAUCAAGUGAAUAUCUUGAUGACUAACAUAGAUUACAAUUUUCAUAUGUUGUAUGUUGUUUCAAUGUUUUGAAGUGCUGUUACUUGACAUGAAUAAACACUAUGCCAGUGUUUACAAAUACCAAAGACAAAAUAAUGAAACAUAUAUCAAUAAUUUUAAAAUGAUAUUCCAUUUGUUCUUUUACAUAAUAAUACAUGGUGAUAGUAUUUUGAAACAGAAUUUAUAAUAAGUAAAGUUUGGAUGACAAUUUGGAAAAGAGGACUUGAUAUAUUAAUGAAAGACUUUGAAAUGGUUAUAAAAGAGUUGUUCUGAGAUAUACGAAUAUUUAAAAAAAAAAAAAUGAGAAAAAUUCAAUGAUUAUUUACCUUGGUUGGCUUAUAAUAUAAUAAAAUAUUAGGGCAACUGACAGCACAUCUAUAAUAUUUUCUGUUAUAUUCAUUGUAAUAAUUAUUAUACUAUUAUCACAGUCGUCUUUAUAUUAUGUAAUUCCUGUAUAGAGCUAAUCAUUGAAAUUGGUACUUGUUCAAACUCCAUUGCAUUGCUAUAGGUAACUUCUGGCUGAUUGAAAUUUAAGUGUUCAGUAUGUUUAUUUAUAUUUUUGAUGUUUUACUGGACUGAGAUUCUCUUUGACACUUGUGCUCAGAUCACAUUAAUUUUAAAACCCAAAUAUGUAAGAAUAUAACUGCCUCUUCGGUUUCAUUAAGAUUGACUCCUUUAGUUUACAUCUUUGUGAUGUUCAAAUAUGAUUGAGACUAUUGUCAUCGAACCAGUUGGAUAUUAAUUGUUGAGUCAUGUUUUUUUGUCACCUUACCAUCCUAAAAGUGCUAUCUAUAUUUUUUUUUGGUUUUGUGUAUUUGAAAUUCCUUGUAAUAAAACUUUACAAUUUAUACUUUUACAAAA